UCUACGGGUGGCAGCAGUGGGGGAUAUUGCACAAUGGGGGAGACCCUGAUGCAGCGACGCCGCGUGAGUGAAGAAGUAUCUCGGUAUGUAAAGCUCUUUUAGCAGGGAAGAAAAUGCCAGUACCUGUCCAAGAAGCCCCGGAUAACUACGUGCCGGCAGCCGCGGUUAUACGGCGGGGGCAAGCUUUAUCCGGAUUUACGGGGUGUAAUGGGAGCGUAGGCGGGUAUGAAAGUCCGGAGUGAAUGGCCGGGGGCCAACCUCGGGACGGCUGUGGAACCUGGGUCACUGGAGUAGAGGAGGGGCAGGCGGAAUUGGUGGUGUAGCGGUGAAAUGCGUAGAUAUCAGGAGGAACACCGGCGGCGAAGGCGGCCUGCUGGACUGAAACUGACGUUGAGGCGCGAAAGCGUGGGGAGCGAACAGGAUUAGAUACCCGAGUAGUC
rnacentral:rRNA from 1 species